GCAAGUCGAGCGGAAACGACAGUAACAAUCCUUCGGGUGCGUUAUUGGGCGUCGAGCGGCGGACGGGUGAGUAAUGCCUAGGAAAUUGCUUUGAUGUGGGGGAUAACCAUUGGAAACGAUGGCUAAUACCGCAUAAUGCCUACGGGCCAAAGAGGGGGACCUUCGGGCCUCUCGCGUCAAGAUAUGCCUAGGUGGGAUUAGCUAGUUGGUGAGGUAAUGGCUCACCAAGGCGACGAUCCCUAGCUGGUCUGAGAGGAUGAUC
rnacentral:rRNA from 1 species